CAUGAAUGCGACUGAAUUUUUAACGUUCUGUAGAAUUGGAAAAAUCGCAGUAUUUCCUCUCCACAGUGGAGCUAUGAAACCACAGAGAGUGUGUGUGUUUAUGUGUCUGUGCGCCUAAAAGGGAAGGAGCGGAUGCAUGCGCGACUUCCACAAAGACAGGAAGGCCGGGGAUGCAGGCGGGAGAGAGAGGCAAGCGUCAUCGCUACUGAACCGUUUCAAAAUAAACCAUAAAAUCACAUUGACCAAAGGCCCGCUGGGCAUUGUCUUUGUCUGAACACCUCCUGGUGAAGCUGUUUCCUCAGUGGAGGAUUUGGUAGCGAAGACUCAGGGGGUGGGGUGGGGGUUGGGACUCCACGUAAGCGUGUGAUUGCAGACCUGUCCUCGUUAAUGUGCUUCGGUCACCCCCUCUGAUAAUAGCUGCCUGGGGUUUCCACCACAGAGCCCUGCUGUGCUUCAUGCUCUGCGCUCUGCGCUUGCCUGGGCCCAGGACAGAGGGGGAGCCGGCUGGUCACCGGAGGACCAUAUACAUCCUCGAGUUACGUGGGAAAGAAUUUUCCGAGACACCCGGGAGCACCACCGUUUUUGGUGCAAGAUCUUCUGAAGCCGUAAUAAAGACACUCAUUUGAGGGGAUGGGCAUUGGAUAAUCAAGUCAUACCUGGCCAUGGGUGAGUUCCCCAUCACAGAAGACCAUGGAGCAGAGACAGGUAGGUGCCUCACUGGGGAAAGGGUGGCUCAAAAGGCACUGGAUGGGAGCUUGGAGUAGUUCACCUCUCAGGUCCUUCCAUUGCUAAGGUUUUCUGGUUCUAGUGAGAAUUGGUAGCAUUUUCUAUUUUCAAUGAAAACAUGAAGAGAUUAGAAGUAGCCUGACUUACACAUUUUCCCAAAGCUAGGCGAAACAUAUGUUAGCCGUAAGUCGCCAGUGUGAAGUUGGUCCCUGCCCUCGAAGACCUUGCUGCCUUCCUGAGCUCUCUCAGGGGGCUCAGGGAGGGUGACUUGGCAACUCCUUGAAUGCACUCUGUCAUUCAGGCUCUGGGAGUAAGCGACCACACCCGCCCAGGGUGCCAGGCAGCUGUGAUGACUCAGCUGAACAAUUAACCACGAAUGGAAACUUGAUUUGCUACUUGGUGCCGAGGUGGUCCCCACCACGGUCCUAGUCAACAGGCCAAUGACAAGCACCUUGUGCCUCGUCCCUUGGUGCCUCACUCCACUGCGGCAAAGGGAAUCUUCUGGGGACGAGUUGACCACACAGAAUGUCAAAACAGGCAUCUAUCUUCUUCCCUCUCCAUGGGGGCCUGUUCUCUGUAACCUGAC
rnacentral:lncRNA from 1 species